GACGAACGCUGGCGGCGUGCUUAACACAUGCAAGUCGUACGGUAAGGCCCUUUCGGGGGUACACGAGUGGCGAACGGGUGAGUAACACGUGAGUAACCUGCCCACAACUUUGGGAUAACGCUAGGAAACUGGUGCUAAUACUGGAUAUGAGCUCCUGCUGCAUGGUGGGGGUUGGAAAGCUCCGGCGGUUGUGGAUGGACUCGCGGCCUAUCAGCUUGUUGGUGGGGUAGUGGCCUACCAAGGCGGCGACGGGUAGCCGGCCUGAGAGGGUGACCGGCCACAUUGGGACUGAGAUACGGCCCAGACUCCUACGGGAGGCAGCAGUGGGGAAUAUUGCACAAUGGGCGCAAGCCUGAUGCAGCAACGCCGCGUGCGGGAUGACGGCCUUCGGGUUGUAAACCGCUUUCAGCAGGGACGAAGCUUUUUGUGACGGUACCUGCAGAAGAAGCACCGGCUAACUACGUG
rnacentral:rRNA from 1 species